AUUGAACGCUGGCGGAAUGCUUUACACAUGCAAGUCGAACGGCGGCACGGACUUCGGUCUGGUGGCGAGUGGCGAACGGGUGAGUAAUGUAUCGGAACGUGCCCAGUCGUGGGGGAUAACGUAGUGAAAAUUACGCUAAUACCGCAUACGAUCUAUGGAUGAAAGCGGGGGAUCGCAAGACCUCGCGCGAUUGGAGCGGCCGAUAUCAGAUUAGGUAGUUGGUGGGGUAAAGGCCCACCAAGCCAACGAUCUGUAGCUGGUCUGAGAGGACGACCAGCCAGACUGGAACUGAGAGACGGUCCAGACUCCUACGGGAGGCAGGAGUGGGGAGUUUUGGACAAUGGGCGAAAGCCUGAUCCAGCCAUUCCGCGUGCAGGAUGAAGGCCCUCGGGUUGUAAACUGCUUUUGUACAGAACGAAAAGGUUUCUACUAAUACUAGGAGCUCAUGACGGUACUGUAAGAAUAAGCACCGGCUAACUACGUGCCAGCCGCCGCCGUAA
rnacentral:rRNA from 1 species